UACGUAGGUCCCGAGCGUUAUCCGGAUUUACUGGGUGUAAAGGGAGCGUAGACGGCUGUACAAGUCUGAAGUGAAAGCCCGUGGCUCAACCGCGGAACUGCUUUGGAAACUGUAAAGCUGGAGUACUGGAGAGGCAGGCGGAAUUCCUAGUGUAGCGGUGAAAUGCGUAGAUAUUAGGAGGAACACCAGUGGCGAAGGCGGCCUGCUGGACAGAAACUGACGUUGAGGCUCGAAAGCGUGGGGAGCAAACAGG
rnacentral:rRNA from 1 species